GGACCUGCUGGUGUGACCUUAUCUGGGACAAUGGGAGAGAGAGGGCUGCCAGGGCUACGGGUAGGUCUGCUUGGUUGAACCAGUUAUUUACAUCAGCUAUUAUUCAGGCAUUUACUAUACAGAUUACCAAACAUGAACAAGAAUGUUUAGGGAUUUCUGGGUUACCACGUGUUUCUAAAGUUGUAUUUUUCUAAAAUGUUUGUCCUUUAGGGUGAGAGGGGGGACAAGGGUCCUGCAGGCACCAAAGGGGACAGGGUGAGUAAUGUCACAUAAUACAACAUUAGUCAACAUUCACAGACACUACAUUAUGACAGUGAUAAGGGAAAUUAUUGUGUGUGUGUCUGUCUGUUUCUGUGUCUUGUUGAAAUAGGGCCCUGCUGGUGAAAAUGGCGAGCCUGGAGAAGAUGUGAGUCACCUUUUGACAUUUUGUAAUAUCAAAUAUUUAAUGUCUAACAGAUGUCAGUCUUACUUACUUCUCCAUCCACUUUGUCUCUUUUAGGGGGGCAGAGGACAUGCAGGGCCUAAAGGAGACAAGGUAAUGCAAAUCACCAGCUGAUUCCUCAUGUCUGUGUUUCCCUGGCUGCUAACCAUGUGACAGUACUAACAGGAUUUGUGUUGCAGGGAGAGAGAGGCAUCGGACUGGCAGGGCCUCCUGGUCAGCUGGGACCUCAAGGGUUAAAGGGAGACACAGGACUCCCGGGCCCAGCAGGUCCUCCAGGAGCCCGUGGCAUAGCAGGGACCCCUGGUCUGGCCGGCCUGAGAGGAGAGAACGGAACCCCAGGACCCCCAGGACCUCUAGGACCCAGGGUGAGAGGGCCUAUAUCGCCACGGUAGUUGGGUGACUGGUGUGGUCUUGUCUUGUUAGCCCUACUCUGUGUUGUAUGAUUAUGUUGUCUCAUCUCCAGGGUCUCCAAGGCUUUCCUGGUCAGGCAGGGACCCCUGGAGGUCCUGGGCCCCCUGGACCCACCGGCCUAGUUGGUACACCGGGAACUGCUGGAGGCAAAGGGGACAAGGGAGCGAUUGGAGCAGGAGUACCUGGAUUGAGAGGCGAGAGAGGAGACCCAGGGCCCCGGGUAAAACCACAUCACCAUUUGAGUUUGAAUUGUAUCUAUAUUUGACAGUGUUGUAUUGUAGAGUUGUGUGUGUUGGGGGAUUUACCGAUUUGUGUGCCUGAUGUUUGCAGGGGGAGGAGGGUCGAGCUGGUUUGGACGGGGAGAGAGGACUAGUGGUACGUCUGUCUUCUCUUCUUUCAUCACUGUCUGUCUCUCAUGUAUCUCUACCACAGGAGGCUGGUGGCACCUUAAUUGGGGAGAA
rnacentral:lncRNA from 1 species